UCAAUUGUAUUAAUUCUUAUAUUUAGUUCCAGAUCAUUUACACUUCCAAGUGGCAAGAAUAAAUACAUCAUUCACAUUAGAGUACACUGUCCUUUAACUCUAUUCAAGAAACUUUUUUUUUUUUGGUAAAAUUAUCCAAGAAACUCUCUCUUCGGUAGUACCUGACCUUAUUUGAGCUAAACUUCAUCCAAUGAUGAGAUGAAAAUUUGUGUAGAAAUUCAUAAUUUGAGUGUAUUUUGCUCUGGUUGUAUCAAUUUUUGAGUUCUUCUGCUCAUGUUUUUCCCGAUUUAAGCUAGGGUUCUUAUGGCGAUCUUAUCUGCCCCAAUUUCAAAGAAGGAAGCUAAUGGACUACUGGCAUCACUGCAAGAUUUAUCAACUCAUUUUCUGUGGAGACAAUAUAAUUGGCACCUAAAAAAUGUAUUAGCCUCAACUUCAGAGAAGUUUUCUGAAUAUUCAGGUGUCCAAGUUAUACUAAGACAUGUCAAUUUGUGGUUGCAGUUUUAUUCAUUUGUAGAAGGUUUAAGGAUCAAGUUAUGUUGCUGGAAGCACCAACUCGUUAGGUGGCUCCGAUGCUGACUGCCGUUCGCAACUACAAGUCUCCUCUCAACGGUUGAUAACUAUAAAACUGGCAUUUUUAUCCUUGAGAAUGACAUAUCUGAUGUUGAUCGUUUCCCCAAAUUGUUACACAUAGCAUGCUCUUUUUAUGUGAUUUGCUCCAUUGUUUCAUAAAGAUACUGUUAAUGAUCAUUUUUAAAUGGGAAAGAACAUUAUACUGAUGCAGGAAAUUAAUGUACAUGCUAUAAGUUGUAAA